UUUAGAAAUAGCCAUUUCUCGGCCAGACAUGCAUUAUCAUUCAUUGGUUGACCGAUCUGGAAAACCACAAUCCACAUUGGUUGCCGCACUAGCAUGUUUUGGGUACUUCGGUGCUGAUUAAUUGGAUGUAUAGAAUCGACUGGCACCUCACCAGUGGCGUCCAGCCGAGGUAGGCCCGAGACGUGGACGGUGGAUAGCCAGCCUCUCUCCCCGCUCUAUAAAUCACGGGCACACCAAGCUUCCCUUCCAAAGCAGAACAAGCGCGGAUCUGAGAGCAGAUGAACUCGAGGUAUUUCGUUGAGUGAGAUCAUCACCAUGUCGUGCUGCGGAGGCAGCUGCGAGUGCGGCAGCGGCUGCGGGGGGGCUCGAUGUGGGGGACGAUUCAUUGACUCAUUGUACGGCCAUGAUGACAUCCACGGCCUAGAUUACUGGGCUAAGAAGUGCGCGGAUUAUUUGUUGUCAGAGCCACCUGAUAUGGAUGGAGAGCUCAGGGACGACUGCUCGCAGGAGAGCCGCUCAUUUAAAAAUCCUGCUCUUGCAUGGAGACGAUGAUCCUCAAGUACCAUACGAAACCAGUAUAUGGUACGCUAAGUUUCUGCGAACCUCAGGCUUUUCAGUGGAUUUUAGAACCUUCAACAGACUGCAGCAUUUUUGGACAUACCGUGAGAUGGAUUAUGUCAAGCAGUGGCUCCGCCCUAGGAUCGCAGUGCCCAGAAUCACAGUGCCCAGACGCCAUGGAAGGCUGUAGUUUAGUACUCCCUCUGUAAAGAAAUAUAAGAUCGUUUAGAUUACUAAUAAAGUGAUCUAAACAAUCUGAAAGGCUGUAGCUUAGUAGUAAAAGUCGUACCACCAUUACUAGUAUAGUAAGUACUAAAGAGGAUGGCAGUAUUGUAUGGCAGUAAGUACUAAAGAGGAUGAACAAUUGCAAUUUCCAGUGAA